GUGCUCACUUCAGCACGCACACCAAAAUUGGAAUGACACAGGUGAGCAUGGCCCCUGCUGAAGGAUGACAUGCACAUUUGUGAACCAUUCCUUUUUUUU
rnacentral:snRNA from 1 species